GGACUUCAAAAUAAGCUAAUAGUAAAUCCAAAGUGGCUAUCAGACAUAUGUCUUGCUAUCUUUCAAAAAGCUGCUCAUGCCAUCAGAUUUACCAUAAUCAAACAAAACAAAAGAGAAUAAAACCCAACCCAAGAAAAAAAAUGAACAUGAUAUGGUUUCUAGGCGGGGAUCAUCUCCUGGUGAGUCGUGGUUCUCUCUACGCAGUCAGCGAAAGUCACGGAGAGAGGCCUGGGCCUGGAUGUCCCCUCUCCAGAAGCGGCCCACGCACGGCGCUGGUUUCCAGGAACAAGCACUCAAAACAGAAGAGCGUUACAAAUGGGAACUUUUUGUAUGGAUUCUUAGCAGACUACUGGUACGUGGCAUCUAUUUUGGUCUAAUGCUUAUUCCUGGUUUCUUUAUGAAGUGAAAGAUAUAACCCUCUU
rnacentral:lncRNA from 1 species